rfam:Gasterosteus aculeatus cont1.005883, whole genome shotgun sequence.
ACAACAACUUACUGUAAGUCGCUUUGGAUAAAAGCAUCAGCUAAAUGACAUGUA